rnacentral:lncRNA from 1 species
AUUGGGGCAUCCCAUGGUAGCCAUGUGACGUGUGUAUUUGUGGGUGCAAGGGCUCCAAAAGUUGGCACCUAAAGGAUCUCCUAAAGAAGGUCAAAUAACUAAAAGAAUAAGGAUUCCUAAUGCAAGUAGGACUUGUAUUAAGUGGUUGUUUGAUUUUGAAUAGGAUUCAAACCUUAUGCCUACUUAAAAGAGCCUUCCC